AGGGAGGAGGGGCUGGGGUCCCACAGUACAAAGCCAAUUCCCACUCCAUUCCCUCCUCUCCCCCGCUACCCCGAAUCUCCUAGCAGGAAUCCAAGCGCUUUGUGCAGUGGCAGUCGUCUAUCUGAGCCCCUCCUCCCGGCUGGACUGGAGCCUGGCUCCCCUCUUCGUUCCUUCCCUGGCUGCCGGAGGAGACCCCACUAAUCCAGCCUGCCUGGGCUCUGACCACUAACACUCUUGGCCAUGGACAGCCUGCACAGGACCGCCUCCCUGCUCUUGGCCACUGUGCUCCCAUUUCUGUCCUUGGCCUUGGGAGUAGCUGAGGGGGCAGACUAGGGAGUAGGGCUGGCAGGGGAGGGGGCAGACAGCCUCGCACCCUUCAUCCCUGGCUGCCGGUCCCAUCCUUGGAGGGACUAAGCUGGGGGCAGGGGACAUGAGUCCCCCUGCUGCCCCUGCCACAUCCCAGUGGGCUCUGACCCCCUGAUCUCAACUCGUGGCACUAACUUGGAAAAGGGUUGAUUUAAAAUAAAAGGGAAGACUAUUUUACAAG
rnacentral:sRNA from 1 species